rnacentral:rRNA from 1 species
AUUGAACGCUGGCGGCAGGCCUAACACAUGCAAGUCGAGCGGAUGAAGGGAGCUUGCUCCUGGAUUCAGCGGCGGACGGGUGAGUAAUGCCUAGGAAUCUGCCUGGUAGUGGGGGAUAACGUCCGGAAACGGGCGCUAAUACCGCAUACGUCCUGAGGGAGAAAGUGGGGGAUCUUCGGACCUCACGCUAUCAGAUGAGCCUAGGUCGGAUUAGCUAGUUGGUGGGGUAAAGGCCUACCAAGGCGACGAUCCGUAACUGGUCUGAGAGGAUGAUCAGUCACACUGGAACUGAGACACGGUCCAGACUCCUACGGGAGGCAGCAGUGGGGAAUAUUGGACAAUGGGCGAAAGCCUGAUCCAGCCAUGCCGCGUGUGUGAAGAAGGUCUUCGGAUUGUAAAGCACUUUAAGUUGGGAGGAAGGGCAGUAAGUUAAUACCUUGCUGUUUUGACGGUGCCAACAGAAUAAGCACCGGCUAACUUCGUG